rnacentral:rRNA from 1 species
GACGAACGCUGGCGGCGUGCCUAAUACAUGCAAGUCGAGCGCAGGAAACUGACGGAACUCUUCGGAGGGAAGGCAGCGGAAUGAGCGGCGGACGGGUGAGUAACACGUAAGGAACCUGCCUCAAGGAUUGGGAUAACUCCGAGAAAUCGGAGCUAAUACCGGAUAGUUCAUCGGACCGCAUGGUCCGUUGAUGAAAGGCGCUUCGGCGUCACCUUGAGAUGGCCUUGCGGUGCAUUAGCUAGUUGGUGGGGUAACGGCCCACCAAGGCGACGAUGCUUAGCCGACCUGAGAGGGUGAUCGGCCACACUGGGACUGAGACACGGCCCAGACUCCUACGGGAGGCAGCAGUAGGGAAUCUUCCACAAUGGACGAAAGUCUGAUGGAGCAACGCCGCGUGAGUGACGAAGGUUUUCGGAUCGUAAAACUCUGUUGUAAGGGAAGAACACGUACGAGAGGAAAUGCUCGUACCUUGACGGUACCUUACGAGAAAGCCACGGCUAACUACGUGCCAGCCGCCGCCGUAA